CACAACUAGCGUUGAGUUAUCAUCACAAAAUGUGAUGUGUAAGAAAGUUCACAUAUGGUCUCUAUUGUUCUAUGAAUCUUGACAAGAACUGGCCACUGGGGGUGCUAUACGCAGGGAGUGUUUGGACCCCACAGACUGCCUCUUAUGGCUAUAUUACUAUUAUUAGCAGUAGAAGUAGUUGUAUUAUUAUUAUUAUUGCAGUAGUAGUAGUGAUAUUUCCUACCGUUUUUUAAGUUUCUUUUUCCACCUCUGGUUCCUUAGUCCAACGGAUCUGACGCACUGAAGGCUGGACAUUGGCAGAUAUCAUCUAUGAUGAAAAAGCCUCCCUUGCGAGACGAGAAUCUUCACCAUCUGAAUCAUGAGUGCCGGUGCCCGUCGUCAGUCCCUUCUCUCUCCGUUACUGGACCUGGAUCUGGAUCUCGAUCUGGACACUCAUUACCAGCUUGUGCAUCUCACUGCUGAUAUCAUGAUGCUACUUAACUAUCUUCGCAGCACCCGCUCUAGGAAUGGAGAUCCGGGGUUCCCCCCUCUUCUUCGAUACAGAAUCUGCCUACAGCAUCUACAGCAAUCUACAGCAAAUAUGCUGUCCGAAAGAACCCGUUAACAUCAAGGGCAACAAGUGCUGAGAUUAUGACGGUGAUGAAAAGGUGGCUGCAGCUGGCUUCAGACCGUGGAGGAGGAUGGAAGAGGUGCAACAAACAGUAGCUUGCCCUGACUAGGAACGCAUAAACCAUUGAAAUCAACGAGGAAAAAAUUCAGCUAAUUGACGCUCUCUCCCUGGGC